GGGAAGCUUUGGACGCAGGAACGUGGAGUCGUUUCCAGUCUUGUUAUUCAUGCUUCCAGGACACCACUGUUUCCCAGGGCACAGCCGCAGGGAUGGGCACCCAUAGGUUCAUCCCCCAGAGCAUGAAUUUAGGGAGAGGAGAGUAGCCUUCCGCUGCACAGAACUGUCUGCUUCAGUGCUGAGGAAGCCAGCACUUUGGGUAGUUUGGGACCUUUUCAUUCUAGAUGGAUGUGACUUGGCAAAAUUUAGCUUAAAAUGAAAAGAAAGAGGGCUUUAGUGGGGUGGGUGUGUGUGUGUGUGUGUGUGUGUGUGUGUGUGUGUGUAUGUCUAGAUCUUUUGCUAGUGACGGAACUGUGGCAUCACUGUCCCAGUGAAAUGAAGGGAAAAGGAGGCUCUCUAGGAGAGCGAGUGGGAGGGAGAUUGGUCUGUAUGUCAGGGAGGAUCCAAGAUGUCGCAAUUCAGAUUACAGAGCACGCUUGGAGAGAUCUCCAGUUCAUUACUGUGGAAGGCAAGAUGUGUUAAACACGGCGCACUUUAUGGGGAGAGGGGAGCUGCCUUUCGAUAGAAGGAGGAAAUGUGACCCAGAGGUCUCAUGUGAUGUGUUUCUGUGCGGCUGCUGGCCCAACCUCUUGACUCUCCUCUCUGCCAAAUACCAAGGCCAGCUCUGUCUCCUUUUGACCUCCGAAGCUGUGGAUACAGUGAAUCACUUUUUCUCCUAAUUGUCUCCUCUAUUCUUGGCAGACUUCCUUAAAAGAAAAAAAUCAAUCGCAAGAUUAAUAUUAACCACAAAGGACAUGUUUUUCUACUUUUUUUUUUACAUCUGAUUUUUCAAUCUCAAUCGAUUCAGUUUGUUGCAACUACAAUAGAUGAUGGUUAAAUAUUAGAGGCAGGAGCUUGGUGGCAAAGGCAUAUUGAUAGAAUUUAUAUCAAAUACUGAAGUUUGCAACAUAAAAAUGAAUCACUUUAUUAUUUCCUAUAGACAUGCAGCUGCUCAAAACAGCAUGCUCCCAGGUCACAAAUGCGUGUAUCGAUUAGCAUAUAACACAUGCCUAUUGGCCUUGAGCUAAGCAUCCAGGACUCUAUGGCCCUUGUCCCCCAGGAGGAGGAAAUUCAAGCAAAAGUCUUUGGUUCUCACUGCAACAACAUCCAUGUGUGCGCCCAGCCUGGGAUACCUGGUGUCUUUGGACUCCUGAGAGUUCGUCAUGUUUAUAGCUCUGCAGUAUGCUCCUGAGGACAGAUGCUGUCACUCCAGGUGCUUCUCCACCUGGACAGACAGAUCUCA
rnacentral:lncRNA from 1 species